UACAGAGGGGGCGAGCGUUGUUCGGAAUUACUGGGCGUAAAGGGCGCGUAGGCGGCCUGCUAAGUCAUACGUGAAAUCCCUCGGCUCAACCGGGGAACUGCGUGUGAUACUGGCGGGCUUGAAUCCGGGAGAGGGAUGCGGAAUUCCAGGUGUAGCGGUGAAAUGCGUAGAUAUCUGGAGGAACACCGGUGGCGAAGGCGGCAUCCUGGACCGAUAUUGACGCUGAGGCGCGAAAGCCAGGGGAGCAAACGGG
rnacentral:rRNA from 1 species